rnacentral:rRNA from 1 species
GGCUUGAUGAAAUAUAAUAUUAAGUCGAUCUGCCCAAUGAUAAAUAUUAAAUGGCUGCAGUAUAACUGACUGUACAAAGGUAGCAUAAUCGAUUGUUUUUUAAUUGAAAACUGGAAUGAAAGAAUUAAUGAGAUAUAUACUGUCUCAUAUAUAUUUAAUAAAUUUAAAUUUUUAGUAAAAAUGCUGAAAUAAGUUUAUGGGACGAUAAGACCCUAUAGAAUUUUAUAUUAAUGUGUAGAUAAAUAAUUUUUAUAUAUUAAUAUUUAGUUGGGAGGAUUGGUAAAUUUAUUAAACUUUAUUUUUAAUAAAAACUUUGAUUUAAGAAUUAAUAAUGAUCUUGUAUUAUAAAUAAUAAGAGUAAAUUACCUUAGGGAUAACAGCGUAAUAUCUUUUGAAAGAUCGAAUUGAUAAAGGUGAUUGCGACCUCGAUGUUGAAUUAAGAUAAAUUUUAAACGUAGAAGUUUAAUAAUUAAGUCUGUUCGACUUUUAAAAUCUU